rnacentral:lncRNA from 1 species
AAGUUCAUAUAAAUUAAAAUAAACAAGCCAAAAAUCCAUACAAAUCAAACUAAAAUCAAAUUAAAUAACUAAAUUCGGUCCCAACAUAAAAAAUUCAACCAAAACCAACCAAGCAAAUAACUGACAGCUAUGAUCGCCACACUGCAACAUAACUGAUCCUUCACUGCCUUCACCGGAGCAAAGCACCAGAAAAAUCUAGAAUGGCC